rnacentral:pre_miRNA from 1 species
GUGUACGUGUGGAUGGUGUUCAGCACCAAGGACAGGUGUGUUUACCUGUGAGUGAAUGGUGUUCAGCACAAAGGAUAGGAGUGUUUACCU